rnacentral:rRNA from 1 species
GAUGAACGCUGGCGGCGUGCUUAACACAUGCAAGUCGAACGAUGAAAGCGGGAGCUUGCUCCUGCUGGAUUAGUGGCGAACGGGUGAGUAACACGUGAGUAACCUGCCCUUGACUCUGGGAUAAGCGUUGGAAACGACGUCUAAUACCGGAUACGACCUUCGGAGGCAUCUCCUGGGGGUGGAAAGAAUUUCGGUCAAGGAUGGACUCGCGGCCUAUCAGCAAGUUGGUGAGGUAAUGGCUCACCAAGGCGACGACGGGUAGCCGGCCUGAGAGGGUGACCGGCCACACUGGGACUGAGACACGGCCCAGACUCCUACGGGAGGCAGCAGUGGGGAAUAUUGCACAAUGGGCGAAAGCCUGAUGCAGCAACGCCGCGUGAGGGACGACGGCCUUCGGGUUGUAAACCUCUUUUAGUAGGGAAGAAGCGAAAGUGACGGUACCUGCAGAAAAAGCACCGGCUAACUACGUGCCAGCAGCCGCAGUAAGAC